UAUUAAUAAAAUUGUUUUUAUGUAUUAUUGGUUAUAUUAUUAAGUUAUGUGAAUUAGAUUUAAGUUAGUGUAGAAUUAAUUGAUAAAAUUGUUUUUACUAUAGUUGAUUAGUACUGUGAGGGAAAUUUUAAAUAAUAAGUAUAAUUUGGUAAAGGUAAUUUUAUUAAUUGUAUCUUGUGUAUCAGAGUAUAUCAAAAUGAAUUUUUGAAUUAUUUAUUCUCGAAUUUAAAAGAUUUAAUUAGGAAGUUUAAUUGAUGUUUCAAAAUCAUUAAAAAUUCUUAAUUGGUAAUGAAAUGUUAAUCGUUUUUAAGGAUAUCUAGUUUUUUAAUAAAUGAAUUUAAUUCAGGAAAUAUAAGUUAUAUUUGUUUUUAUUUGCUUAUAUAUUUUAUAUUUCUAAUUUUUAAGGGGAUUAACUCUUGAAAAUAUAAUUAUAAUAUUUUAAUUUGUGAGGAUUUUAUAAAUUUAGAAUUUGUUAUUAAUUAAAGGAUGUUAAAAUUUAAUUCUUGUUAAAAGGGAUUUUAUUUAUAUUUAAUUUAUUUAUUAAAAUUGAAGGUGAAAUUUAAUUUCUUUAGAAAAUAUGAUUUAAUUAGUAAAUUAUUUAAUGUGUAAAUAUUAUAUUAAUAUUUAUUGAUAUUUUAAAAUAAGGAAUUAGGCAAAUAUUUUGCUCGCCUGUUUAUUAAAAACAUGGUUUCUUGAUAAUGAAUAAGAGAUCUGACCUGCCCACUGAAAAAUUUUGAAGGGCCGCAGUAUUUUGACUGUGCAAAGGUAGCAUAAUCAUUAGUCUUUUAAUUGAAGGCUGGAAUGAAUGGUUGGACGAGGUAAAUACUGUCUUAUUUUAAUAUAUAUUUGAAUUUAGAUUUUAAGUAAAAAAACUUAAAUGAAAUUAAGGGACGAGAAGACCCUAUAGAGUUUAAUAUAUAUAAUUUUAAUUGAGUUAAUAAUAAAUUUUUGAUUAUUAUGGAGUAUAUUUAAUUGGGGUGAUUAGAAGAUAUAAUUAACUCUUCUUUGUUUUAAAUAAUAUUAUUAGUUUUAUGAUCCAUAUAUAAUGAUUAGAAGAUUAAAUUACCUUAGGGAUAACAGCAUAAUCCUUUUAGAGAGUUCAAAUCGAAAAAAGGGAUUGUGACCUCGAUGUUGGAUUAAGAAUAAUUAUGGGUGUAGGUGUUCAAUAAUUAAGUCUGUUCGACUUUUAAAUUCUUACAUGAUCUGAGUUUAAACCGGCGUGAGCCAGGUUGGUUUCUAUCUUUAAUUUAAUUAAACAUUUUAGUACGAGAGGACCAGAUGUUUAAAAUAAUUUUUAUAAUUUGAAUAUUAUUAAUAGU
rnacentral:rRNA from 1 species